GUACACUCCUGCGGGAGGCAGCAGUGGGGAAUAUUGCACAAUGGGCGCAAGCCUGAUGCAGCCAUGCCGCGUGUAUGAAGAAGGCCUUCGGGUUGUAAAGUACUUUCAGCGGGGAGGAAGGCGAUAAGGUUAAUAACCUUGUCGAUUGACGUUACCCGCAGAAGAAGCACCGGCUAACUCCGUGCCAGCAGCCGCGGUAAUACGGAGGGUGCAAGCGUUAAUCGGAAUUACUGGGCGUAAAGCGCACGCAGGCGGUCUGUCAAGUCGGAUGUGAAAUCCCCGGGCUCAACCUGGGAACUGCAUUCGAAACUGGCAGGCUAGAGUCUUGUAGAGGGGGGUAGAAUUCCAGGUGUAGCGGUGAAAUGCGUAGAGAUCUGGAGGAAUACCGGUGGCGAAGGCGGCCCCCUGGACAAAGACUGACGCUCAGGUGCGAAAGCGUGGGGAGCAAACAGGAUUAGAAACCCCGGUAGUCCCAUG
rnacentral:rRNA from 1 species